GUAUCGCGUGGGAACAUGCCCUUCUGUACGGAACAACCAUUGGAAACGAUGGCUAAUACCGUAUACGCCCUUAGGGGGAAAGAUUUAUCGCAGAAGGAUUGGCCCGCGUUAGAUUAGCUAGUUGGUGAGGUAAGAGCUCACCAAGGCUACGAUCUAUAGCUGGUUUGAGAGGAUGAUCAGCCUCACUGGGACUGAGACACGGCCCAGACUCCUACGGGAGGCAGCAGUGGGGAAUAUUGGACAAUGGGGGCAACCCUGAUCCAGCGAUGCCGCGUGAGUGAUGAAGGCCUUAGGGUUGUAAAACUCUUUCAGAUGGGAUGAUAAUGACAGUACCAUCAGAAGAAGCUCCGGCUAACUCCGUGCCAGCAGCCGCGGUAAUACGGAGGGAGCUAGCGUUGUUCGGAAUUACUGGGCGUAAAGCGUGCGUAGGCGGCCUAGCAAGUUGGGGGUGAAAUCCCGGAGCUUAACUCCGGAACUGCCUCCAAAACUGCUAAGCUAGAAUCCUGGAGAGGUGAGCGGAAUUCCUAGUGUAGAGGUGAAAUUCGUAGAU
rnacentral:rRNA from 1 species